CNUGCAGUCGANCGAUGAAGCCCUUCGGGGUGGAUUAGUGGCGAACGGGUGAGUAACACGUGGGCAAUCUGCCCUUCACUCUGGGACAAGCCCUGGAAACGGGGUCUAAUACCGGAUAACACUCCUGCCUGCAUGGGCGGGGGUUAAAAGCUCCGGCGGUGAAGGAUGAGCCCGCGGCCUAUCAGCUUGUUGGUGGGGUAAUGGCCCACCAAGGCGACGACGGGUAGCCGGCCUGAGAGGGCGACCGGCCACACUGGGACUGAGACACGGCCCAGACUCAUACGGGAGGCAGCAGUGGGGAAUAUUGCACAAUGGGCGAAAGCCUGAUGCAGCGACGCCGCGUGAGGGAUGACGGCCUUCGGGUUGUAAACCUCUUUCAGCAGGGAAGAAGCGAAAGUGACGGUACCUGCAGAAGAAGCGCCGGCUAACUACGUGCCAGCAGCCGCGGUAAUACGUAGGGCGCAAGCGUUGUCCGGAAUUAUUGGGCGUAAAGAGCUCGUAGGCGGCUUGUCACGUCGGAUGUGAAAGCCCGAGGCUUAACCUCGGGUCUGCAUUCGAUACGGGCUAGCUAGAGUGUGGUAGGGGAGAUCGGAAUUCCUGGUGUAGCGGUGAAAUGCGCAGAUAUCAGGAGGAACACCGGUGGCGAAGGCGGAUCUCUGGGCCAUUACUGACGCUGAGGAGCGAAAGCGUGGGGAGCGAACAGGAUUAGAUACCCUGGUAGUCCACGCCGUAAACGUUGGGAACUAGGUGUUGGCGACAUUCCACGUCGUCGGUGCCGCAGCUAACGCAUUAAGUUCCCCGCCUGGGGAGUACGGCCGCAAGGCUAAAACUCAANGGANUUGACGGGGNCCCGCACAAGCAGCGGNNCAUGUGGCUUAAAUUCGACGCAACGCGAA
rnacentral:rRNA from 1 species